UACGUAGGGUGCGAGCGUUGUCCGGAAUUACUGGGCGUAAAGAGCUCGUAGGUGGUUUGUCGCGUUGUCCGUGAAAACUCACAGCUUAACUGUGGGCGUGCGGGCGAUACGGGCAGACUGGAGUACUGCAGGGGAGACUGGAAUUCCUGGUGUAGCGGUGGAAUGCGCAGAUAUCAGGAGGAACACCGGUGGCGAAAGGCGGGUCU
rnacentral:rRNA from 1 species